UAAAGGUAACAGGUAUAAAUAUAAUUCUUGCUCUUUUAUUGUAAAUAUGUAAAGAUUUCUGACAAUUGAUUAUUCAUGUCCAUAUAUGCAUAUAUGUUACUUUUUUGGUCAUAUAUUGCAAAAAUAGUGAUAACCUUGUUGGUUCUUUGUUAAUUAUCUUCUCUUAGCAAUCGUUUAGCAUGUAAUAAGUUAUAUUACGAGUUGAUCUUGCGUAGAAGCACGUCAUAAUCAAUGAUAAACUCAUUAAUGCAUCAGUCUAAUAAACGGGUUUGGUGCCUUUGUUUGAUUCUUAUAACAAUCCGCUAAUUGUUCUUAUUGGAACAAUAUUUGUUUUCGAAGCAUAAAGAUCUGUUUACAGACUCGUGGUGUUGCAACUGAUGGAAGAUAUAAACAGUUUGUCGGGCUUUUGAACCGUCCAACCAUUCUGUGAUAAGAUUACUGCAUUUCACUUUCUGUUUUCUUUUUUUCUUUUAAGUAGAUCCUAACAAGGUUUACAAUAACAUACGCUGAAGUUUUCAUUGUCGAUGAUGCGGUAUUGAUAAUUUUUGUAAGUAGUGAAAUUUAUAUCACGCAUAUCGCUAACGUGAUCGAAGAUUUUCCUGAUCACUGGUGGAAAACUCGCAAUAUUGGCAGCGGCCGCGAUCUCAUUGUAGUAAGCCCACUGCCUUUCCUUGAGUUUACCGAUAUGUCUCAGCUAAUGAAGAGAAAAAUCAAUUAUUUUAACGUGAUAUUUUUUUGAGAACAAUUUAAGGUAUGUGUAUGUACAUUGUAAUGUUUUUUUAUUUAAGAAAAACAUAUCUUUUCACUUUUCUAUCACCUCUCCUUAAACUAAAUUUUCUCUUUUAUUACUAGGACACUUGAGAAAUUAAUCUAAGACCCUUUAAUUACCUGAAUUCCUUGAUCCAAUAGGGCCUUCUUUUCGAGCUUGUAUUCCUCGCGCAUUCUUUGCGACGAUGGCAACUGAAUGCGGCCUUCGAGGAUUCCGAGGAUGUAUUGUGCUUGAAUGUGGAACAUCGGGAAUGGUAUCACGAUGGCGGGUAAACCCAUGAAGAACAGAUUCGUGUAAUCCAUGUGCACCAGGUGCUUGUAAAUGGGUUCAACGUGGUUAUCGUCCGUACGUAUCUUAACUUUAGUUGACAUAAAGGGAUACGUGAACUUGUAACCUGACGAAAAUUGAUUAUGAGAAUCAAUUAAAAUUUCACUAAAAUAUUCCACAUGUAUCAAUCAUUAUACCAGUGCAAUAUAUGAAACUGUCCACUUUCGCCGAGGAGCCAUCGCAGAAGAUGAAGAUGUUUCCUUGAACGGACUUGAUGCCGGGUUUUUGCUCGACGUUGCUUGACAUUUUUGAGUCGAUGGGUUUUGUCAAAUUAUGACUCAAGUAUACCUAGAUUAACAAGAGGAAGAUUACAUCAAAUACUGAUUUGCAUAUAUUGUUAUGUCUAUGAUUAAGAUUUUUAAUAAUUUAUAAAACUAUUAUAAUAUAAGUCCAAUUAGGAAUAAAAAGGGUUGUUUUUUUACAUCUGGCGAAGAUAAUUAAUGAUAGGGAUAUGCGUACUUUGUCAGCGUAUUGCGAGACUUCCAGUGCGAUAUCGAUACCGGACCAGGACGCGCCGAGUAUGCAAACAUUCUUGUUGGCGUAUACUUCUGGCUUUCUAUAUUGGUGGCUGUGAAUACAAUCACCGUGGAAGUUUUCGAUACCUGGAAUAUGCGGAACAUGACCGACAGUGUAAUGACCGUUGCACAACACAACGGCGUCAAAAGUUUUCGUGGUUUCUACUUUAGAUUCCAAAUCUUCGUACGUCAGCAUCCACACCGCCUGGCCGUUUCUCAGAAUCUCCGGUUCUAUGUGCUUCACCAGAGUAUUCAACUGAAAUCGAAAAAACGAAUAUAAUUCAAAAUCAAAAAUAUGAUGCAAAACUUUGCCCUUCAUAGAUUUACUCAAGAACUCACUUUAAUGUAAGGAUGAAGAUUGAAGUGUUCUGCAUAGUCCACAAGAUAUUCCUUUAUUACGCUAUGAUGAACAAAAGAUGGACCCUCCUGAUUUUUAAAGGAAAAUCAGGUAUCUGCAUUACUUCCUUCGGUAUAUUCGUUCUGUACGAGAAAUAAUAGAAAAUCAAAUUCUCUUAGAUGAUUCACUCUCAUAUUUAGAGAUAAUGGAUAAUGAGCGGCAAGUUCUGGGAUUAUCAUGUAUUAAUACGAAAAAAAGAUAUGAUACAUACGCAUUGGAAAUAUAAUUUCGGGACUUGUGGCGAGUGAAAUUGAUACGUGAAAGAUGUAAAUCUUGCAACUUUGAAUGUUAAACAAAAAAAAAAACAAAAAAUACACUCAAUUUUUAAUAGACUAAGGUACAUUAUAUUAAUUAUUUAGCACGAAUAUAAAUAAUGUAGUUACUAUAAUUUGCUAUCUGUGUAAUAAAUUAAAAAUGAAUGUA